AAUUACUCUACAUCAAUGCUUUUUCUCUAUAGGAGUAUCCAUCCUGACCCCUGAAAAUUGCAAGGCGUGACGGACGAGAAACGCCAGUUUGUUUCUGCUCCUAUCUUGGCGGAAGUCGACAAUUUUUACGUCUUUUUCUUGAGUUGACAUCCCACAAGAGCUUUGGCGCUGCACAGUUUGUUAUUAGUUUGGACACAGUAUCGUUCAAAAAUCUUAUCAAGCUCUUUAUGUGUCUCCAACAAAGAUUGCACUGAAAAUCAGAACCAACAAAUCUCAAAUUUGAGCACGUGAGGAAUUUAGUGCAAACAGCUAGGUAAUUUCCCAAGGUUUUAAGAAGAUCAUGGCCACUGGUAAGCGAUAUAUUCCUCCCAUGUCUAGAAGAAAAGAAACAACAGGAGCAGCAGCAGAAUCUAGAAGGAAGUUAGAUGACCUUGUUCAAGAUCCAAUUUUUACAGUGAAACUGGGGUCAAAAAAUCAUUACAGUGACCUUCCAUUUCCUGAAGUAACAGAAAAGGAUGAGAGUAACUCAAACAUUCAACAAUUUCAAUUUCCUUUCAAGGAAAGAGAACUACGAAAAUUGAUGCUGGUAAUUAUAAGUUGGCCCACACAUUAAAAAAAAAUUGUCAUGUAAAAACACUGCUGCUCUGUCAGGCCCAUUGCCAGCAUUGAAAAACAAACA